rnacentral:rRNA from 1 species
GCAUAUCAAUAAGCGGAGGAAAAGAAACCAACAGGGAUUGCCCUAGUAACGGCGAGUGAAGCGGCAACAGCUCAAAUUUGAAAUCUGGCCCUCGGGUCCGAGUUGUAAUUUGUAGAGGAUGCUUUUGGUGCGGUGCCUUCCGAGUUCCCUGGAACGGGACGCCAUAGAGGGUGAGAGCCCCGUCUGGUUGGACGCCAAUCCUCUGUAAAGCUCCUUCGACGAGUCGAGUAGUUUGGGAAUGCUGCUCUAAAUGGGAGGUAUAUGUCUUCUAAAGCUAAAUAUUGGCCAGAGACCGAUAGCGCACAAGUAGAGUGAUCGAAAGAUGAAAAGCACUUUGAAAAGAGAGUUAAAAAGUACGUGAAAUUGUUGAAAGGGAAGCGCUCAUGACCAGACUUGGGCUUGGUAGAUCAACCUGGGUUCUCCCUGGUGCACUCUUCCUCGUUCAGGCCAGCAUCAGUUCGUUGCGGGGGAUAAAGGCUUCGGGAAUGUGGCUCCCUAGGGAGUGUUAUAGCCCGUUGCGUAAUACCCUGUGGUGGACUGAGGUUCGCGUUCUGCAAGGAUGCUGGCGUAAUGGUUAUCAGUGACCCGUCUUGAAACACGGACCAAGGAGUCGUCUUCGUAUGCGAGUGUUCGGGUGUUAAACCCCUACGCGUAAUGAAAGUGAACGCAGGUGAGAGCUUCGGCGCAUCAUCGACCGAUCCUGAUGUUCUCGGAUGGAUUUGAGUAAGAGCAUACGGGGCCGGACCCGAAAGAAGGUGAACUAUGCCUGUAUAGGGUGAAGCCAGAGGAAACUCUGGUGGAGGCUCGCAGCGGUUCUGACGUGCAAAUCGAUCGUCAAAUAUGGGCAUGGGGGCGAAAGACUAAUCGAACCUUCUAGUAGCUGGUUUCCGCCGAAG